rnacentral:rRNA from 1 species
AACGAACGCUGGCGGCAUGCCUAACACAUGCGAGUCGAACGAGACCUUCGGGUCUAGUGGCGCACGGGUGCGUAACGCGUGGGAACCUGCCCUUAGGUUUGGAAUAACUCCCCGAAAGGGGUGCUAAUACCGGAUAAUGUCUUCGGACCAAAGAUUUAUCGCCUUUGGAUGGGCCCGCGUUGGAUUAGCUAGUUGGUAGGGUAAAAGCCUACCAAGGCGACGAUCCAUAGCUGGUCUGAGAGGAUGAUCAGCCACACUGGGACUGAGACACGGCCCAGACUCCUACGGGAGGCAGCAGUGGGGAAUAUUGGACAAUGGGCGAAAGCCUGAUCCAGCAAUGCCGCGUGAGUGAUGAAGGCCUUAGGGUUGUAAAGCUCUUUUACCCGGGAUGAUAAUGACAGUACCGGGAGAAUAAGCGCCGGCUAACUCCGUG